UUAGUUAACACCGUGUCCAACGAUGGGACAGAAGUAUACAGAAUGGUGUCUUCUGCGUAGAGGUGGAUCAGAGACUCACCAGCAGCGAGACCGAAAUCAUUGACGUCUACAGAGAAGAGAGUCGGCCCGAGAAUUGAACCCUGUUGCACCCCCAUAGUCUGCCAGAGGUCCGGACAACAGGCCCUCUGAGGAUGGAGCGAAAACCCGCUGACACUCGGCCCUCCGUGAGUUUGACACGUGAUCCAAAGAAUCGGAUACAUUUGGAGAGUAGACAGGCAAAAAGGGCAAGAUGACAAGAUGAGAGAACCUCGGAUUUGCGUUUUACACAUUGGAGAGAACUAAGGCAGUUGAAGGGAUUUAAAACCCAGAAUUAGAUUUUUUUUUUUUCAACUGAAAAGCUAAAGGAGACUCCACACUAACCAAGUCUCGAAGGUGAAAGUGUCUACGCAUUUGAAAACGUCAAAGGACUAUACCUACAUCCCAGGACUUCAGAGAGAAGUAUUGUGAAGACUGGGAUCUCAAUUUGGGGGGGGGUCUACUAAGGAGAAAGAUCAUGUGAUCAGAUUACCAGGACUUCCUGAAGUGUCACAGGGUGCAGUAACCUUUUAUGAGCUGGGAAUGUCUGGAGCUUUCCCCGUUGUCAGAUUUGGUUGUUCCCAGGAAGUGUGUGAACCUACAGAUUUGGUUGUUCCCAGGAAGUGUGUGAACCUACAGAUUUGGUUGUUCCCAGGAAGUGUGUGAACCUACAGAUUUGUAGUUGAAAGACGUUUGGAUGUUUGUGUGGGCAACAAUAAACUUGUGUGAAAAACAA